rnacentral:tRNA from 1 species
GGGGCUGUAGCUCAGUGGUAGAGCGCAUGCCUCACAGGAAUGAGGCACUGGGUUCAAUCCUCAGAACCACA